rnacentral:rRNA from 1 species
AAUACAUGCAAGUCGAACGAAUCUCUUUUAGAGAUGAGUGGCGAACGGGUGAGUAAUACAUAGGUAACCUGCCCCUGUGCGGGGGAUAACAGGAGGAAACUCCUGCUAAUACCGCAUAGCCAUGAGCACCGCAUGGAGCUCAUGCCAAAUAUCCUUUAUGGGAUAGCGCAGGGAUGGACCUAUGGCGCAUUAGCUGGUUGGCGGGGCAACGGCCCACCAAGGCAACGAUGCGUAGCCGGCCUGAGAGGGCGGACGGCCACAUUGGGACUGAGACACGGCCCAGACUCCUACGGGAGGCAGCAGUAGGGAAUUUUCGGCAAUGGGGGAAACCCUGACCGAGCAACGCCGCGUGAGCGAAGAAGGCCUUCGGGUCGUAAAGCUCUGUUGUAAAGGAAGAACGGCGCAUACAGGAAAUGGUAUGCGAGUGACGGUACUUUACCAGAAAGCCACGGCUAACUACGUGCCAGCAGCCGCGGUAAUACGUAGGUGGCGAGCGUUAUCCGGAAUCAUUGGGCGUAAAGAGGGAGCAGGCGGCCGCAAGGGUCUGUGGUGAAAGACCGAAGCUAAACUUCGGUAAGCCAUGGAAACCGGGCGGCUAGAGUGCGGAAGAGGAUCGUGGAAUUCCAUGUGUAGCGGUGAAAUGCGUAGAUAUAUGGAGGAACACCAGUGGCGAAGGCGACGGUCUGGGCCGCAACUGACGCUCAUUCCCGAAAGCGUGGGGAGCAAAUAGGAUUAGAUACCCUAGUAGUCCACGCCGUAAACGAUGGUCACUAAGUGUCGGGGGUCAAACCCCGGUGCUGCAGU